ACUACGGGAGGCAGCAGUGGGGAAUAUUGGGCAUUGGGCGCAAGCCUGACCCAGCAACGCCGCGUGAAGGAAGAAGGCUUUCGGGUUGUAAACUUCUUUUGUCAGGGACGAAGCAAGUGACGGUACCUGACGAAUAAGCCACGGCUAACUACGUGCCAGCAGCCGCGGUAAUACGUAGGUGGCAAGCGUUAUCCGGAUUUACUGGGUGUAAAGGGCGUGUAGGCGGGGAAGCAAGUCAGAUGUGAAAACCACGGGCUCAACCUGUGGCCUGCAUUUGAAACUGUUUUUCUUGAGUGCUGGAGAGGCAAUCGGAAUUCCGUGUGUAGCGGUGAAAUGCGUAGAUAUACGGAGGAACACCAGUGGCGAAGGCGGAUUGCUGGACAGUAACUGACGCUGAGGCGCGAAAGCGUGGAGAGCAAACAGGAUUAGAUACCCGGGUAGUC
rnacentral:rRNA from 1 species